GCUGGCGGCGUGCCUAAUACAUGCAAGUCGAGCGAACGGACGAGGAGCUUGCUUCUCUGAUGUUAGCGGCGGACGGGUGAGUAACACGUGGAUAACCUACCUAUAAGACUGGGAUAACUUCGGGAAACCGGAGCUAAUACCGGAUAAUAUUUUGAACCGCAUGGUUCAAAAGUGAAAGACGGUCUUGCUGUCACUUAUAGAUGGAUCCGCGCUGCAUUAGCUAGUCGGUAAGGUAACGGCUUACCAAGGCAACGAUGCAUAGCCGACCUGAGAGGGUGAUCGGCCACACUGGAACUGAGACACGGUCCAGACUCCUACGGGAGGCAGCAGUAGGGAAUCUUCCGCAAUGGGCGAAAGCCUGACGGAGCAACGCCGCGUGAGUGAUGAAGGUCUUCGGAUCGUAAAACUCUGUUAUUAGGGAAGAACAUAUGUGUAAGUAACUGUGCACAUCUUGACGGUACCUAAUCAGAAAGCCACGGCUAACUACGUGCCAGCAGCCGCGGUAAUACGUAGGUGGCAAGCGUUAUCCGGAAUUAUUGGGCGUAAAGCGCGCGUAGGCGGUUUUUUAAGUCUGAUGUGAAAGCCCACGGCUCAACCGUGGAGGGUCAUUGGAAACUGGAAAACUUGAGUGCAGAAGAGGAAAGUGGAAUUCCAUGUGUAGCGGUGAAAUGCGCAGAGAUAUGGAGGAACACCAGUGGCGAAGGCGACUUUCUGGUCUGUAACUGACGCUGAUGUGCGAAAGCG
rnacentral:rRNA from 1 species